CAGCGCGUGAGUCAUGCGGGGGUGGGCGUGAGGGACGGGGCGGCAGUCCCUCGGAGGUAACCCCACACUCCGGGGCAGCGGACCCCGGUUCCCGAAAGAACCUCGCAAAACGCGGAGAGUGGGACUGGGUUUGGCAAUUUUUGGUUAUCUUCAUUUCCUUCCAAGCUGCUUGCUUUAUAUUUGAAAGUAAUUUAAUUUCUCCUGCUGCAUAAUUGGACACUUCAAAAAUUAAAAAGCCACCUCAGCCAGCUGAGUCCUUAUUGUUUUUGCUGUAGCAAACUGGUGAAAAUAUUUCAUGAAGGUUGAAGCAUUGAAUUUGACUGGGGUCUAGGUUUGAUCUGAAGACUGAAGAUUGAAUUUAAGGAGAAGUUGGGAAGAUCCCGAAUGACUUUGGAAGCAGAAGAGUUACCACGUGGAGUGAAAAUGGAGGUGCAGUGACAGUGCACAAGAAAGGAAAAUGACAGAUGUGAUAUUUUGACUAUUUUGAGAUGACAUAAAUAUAUUGGAGAAGAUUGCCUUGUGGUUGACUCCUUUCC
rnacentral:lncRNA from 1 species